rnacentral:rRNA from 1 species
UGCGCAGGCGGUUUGUUAAGUCAGAUGUGAAAGCCCCGGGCUUAACCUGGGAACUGCGUUUGAGACUGGCAAGCUGGAGUCUGUCAGAGGGGGGUAGAAUUCCACGUGUAGCAGUGAAAUGCGUAGAGAUGUGGAGGAAUACCGAUGGCGAAGGCAGCCCCCUGGGAUAAGACUGACGCUCAUGCACGAAAGCGUGGGGAGCAAACAGGAUUAGAUACCCUGGUAGUCCACGCCCUAAACGAUGUCGACUGGUUGUUGGGCAACUUGAUUGCUUAGUAACGAAGCUAACGCGAGAAGUCGACCGCCUGGGGAGUACGGUCGCAAGAUUAAA